rnacentral:rRNA from 1 species
AGAAGUUAGCGGCGGACGGGUGAGUAACACGUGGGCAACCUGCCUGUAAGACUGGGAUAACUUCGGGAAACCGGAGCUAAUACCGGAUAAUAUAUAGUACCUCCUGGUACUAUAUUGAAAGAUGGUUUCGGCUAACACUUACAGAUGGGCCCGCGGCGCAUUAGCUAGUUGGUGAGGUAACGGCUCACCAAGGCAACGAUGCGUAGCCGACCUGAGAGGGUGAUCGGCCACACUGGGACUGAGACACGGCCCAGACUCCUACGGGAGGCAGCAGUAGGGAAUCUUCCACAAUGGACGAAAGUCUGAUGGAACAACGCCGCGUGAGCGAUGAAGGCCUUCGGGUCGUAAAGCUCUGUUGUUAAGGAAGAACCAGUGCGAGAGUAACUGCUCGCACCUUGACGGUACCUAACCAGAAAGCCACGGCUAACUACGUGCCAACAGCCGCCGUAAUACGGAUGUGGCAAGCGUUGUCCGGAAUUACUGGGCGUAAAGCGCG